GAAAACGCGAUGGCACGAUGAUAAAAUCACGAUGGUGAAACCACGAUAGUAGAAACAGUAGAAUCUAAAGGGUAAAUUUCGUCUCACAAAAUACAUUGAGAUACAUUCAUCAAUUGUUGACAAAAAUACAAGCGCAUUUCUAACCGGUAGGCGAUGGUACGAUGGUGAAAACGCGAUGGUACGACGGUGAAAACGCGAUGGCACGAUGGUGAAACCACGGUAGUACUAUGAUAAUAACGCGAUGGUACGAUGGCGAAAACGCGAUAGCACGAUGGUACGAUGAUGAAAACGCGAUGGCACGAUGGUGAAAACGCGAUGGUACGAUGAUGAAAACGCGAUAUUACAUCGACAUUUUACCAUCGCACAAUCGCGAUUUCAUCAUCGUGCCACCGCGUUUUCACCAUCGUACCAUCGUUGUUUCAUCAUCGUGCCAUCGCGCCAUCGCGUUUUCGUCAUCGUACCAUCGUGCAUCGCGGUUUAGUAUUAAAUAAAAAGUCACGAUUGUCCAAACGGAACACCGCAGAAAGGGGCCACAACUUAGGACUAUAAAUAUUCUAAUAAAAUAAUUUGCUGUAAUGAAAUGAAUAUAUAAUAAUUCAAUAUGGUUUCAAACAUUUAUACACCGUUUACUGGAAAUAGCACACUGAUGCUCUUUAGGCUCGAUAUGUUGGAUAUGCUUUUUUGGGUCAUGACUGAAACACUGUCCCCAUCCCCAUCUAACAAAUAACCUUAAAACAUGUCAAUCUUUGAGAUGCGUAAGGAUGUGCAUUAGCAACUACUAGUGUAUUUCUACUUUAUAUGGAACGAAUACAAACGAACAAUAUCUGAUGGAAAUACUUUUCUCAAUUCCGAGAGUACAAUUUCUUUGAUUUGCAUUUUGCGUUUAUGAAUUAUGAACGUACACUCCUGCUAUUUCGUGUUUAAUCCUGGUUCCAUUUUCCAUAGAAUCAACUACAUUCAACGGAUUUCAUAUAAAUAGUGAGAAUGCAGAAUAAUUGAAAACAUAAUCCUGUAGUAAAUAUAUAUUUUUGAGUCAAAGAAGGGUCAUCCUACCGAAGAUACCGUGUUUCAACACAAACAAAGACAAGAUCAACAGCCUGGAAUGCUAGGUGUAGAGAGGAGAGAACACCAAGAAAAUAGUGAAGAAAUCAACUUUAGAAGACUGCAAAAAGCAAACGAGCAAGCCUAGCAAUGGUACAGAACAAUCCUGAUAUAGCGGACCUAAGUGAUACGAACAGGCCAACGAAAAUAGCCGAGCGUUUCUCUGAAAUGUACGACAAUGAAUGGAUAGAAGUGUUCGAGGCUUUGAGCAAACACAAGAAAGGAAUGCCAGAGGAGCCUAAAAUUAUAAGCAUACUGCUUGAAAUUGUUUAGGAGGCUUACAAGAUUUGCCAGCAAGAAGCACAGAGCCAAAUACCUGAAAUGGAAAGUGUCUUUGUUGAAAUACUAACAGGACAAAAGGUUUCCAGGCAGACCAUGCUGAUGAAGGUUGAACGCUCUUGAUACAGUACAGAAAAGGUAUAGCUGAGAUAGCAUUAGAACGGCUUCACAAGAAUUUCCGAGGCAAACUGAAUGAUAUAUGCAAAAAGAGACUUUCAAAUGAACCUUCCGAUGCCGGACCCGCAGUAAGAUAUGCAAGGAAAGCUGUUGAACUCAACUGGUGGAUGUGUGUACAGGACCCUCCAGUUUAUAUGUGUCCGACUACAGACAACUUUGAUCAAAAUAUGUACAAAGCUUACACAAAAUCCGGAAGCAAUCCAGAGUUUUUUUGUGUGGCCAGCUUUAAGGCUUCAUAAAGAUGGGGGAAUUUUGCUGAAAGGUGUUGUGCAGUUUAAAUAACUGUUUACCAUGUUAAAACUAAUACUAUCAACAUGUAUUUUGUUCAGGCAGUAGGAUGUACAGAGUUCCAAUACAACGGCUGCUUAAGUUUUAGAAAUAUCAUGCAUGAACCAUGCAGGCAAUAUCGUUAUUACGAGGGGUGUUCAAAUAUGAAUGCAACUAGGCCAAUUUUCAGAAGUGCUUAACAAACAAUGCCAAAAUAGUUAUAUCAAUCCUUCAAAAUACUAACCACCGUGUGAUAUACAAAGUUUCAGUAUUUUAAUCCAAUUUUAAAGGCGUUUUCAGAGGUAUACUGUUCAGACACCGGAAAAUAGCCAAACCGAGAUUUUUGCACGUUUGAUAUUUUCUUCCAGCAAGGUGUUUAUUUGAGCUUCGGAAACAGUAAAAAGUCACAAGGGGCAAGAUCUGGCGAAUAAGGAGGGUGAGGAAGCUCGACAACCUUUUCAUGUUUCAGAUAUUCGCGUACAAUGGCCGCUUUGUGUGACGAAGCAUUGUCAUGCAACAACCUGACACCAUGGAGACCAGUUGCUGGUCGACUGUUUGCGAAAUAUUUCUUUGAUUUAUGAAGGACCUUGCCUUUGUAAAACUUGGCAUUUACAGAUUUACCCUUUGGUACGGCAAUUUGAAUAGCAGGACCUUGAUUUGUAAAGAAAAUUUACAUACAUUACCUUUUUGACGCUCAUGGUGCGUUUUGCUAUGCAAGGUCUUUGGCUUCCUUUGGUUGCCCAUAUUUUGUUCUGUAUCUUUCCCUUGGGCUCUUAAAAGUGAACCCACGUCUCAUCGCCAGUGAUGAUAUUUACGAAAGAUCGAUUGUUGUAUUAGGGAACUGUUUCAACAAUUGUUUGGCGAUUCUUCAAAUUUUUGCUCUUUUCUAAGGAGAUGGGUUAUCCAUCUGGCACUUAUCCUUUUGAUUUUUAAAUCACGUCUGAGAAUUGUAUGAGCAGCUCCUACUGAGAUACCGACGCAUUUAGCUAUAUGCCUAGUUGUAAAUCUUGCAUCUGUAGCAAUAAAAUCCUUUACCUUUUCAACUAUUUUUGGCGAAGUUGCAGUUAUCGGACGGCGUGCAUGAGGCGCAUCUUUUACUGAAUCUGCACCACCUUUAAAUUUCUUACACCACCGUGUGACAGAUGAAAAAGAAAGUUCAAAUUUCACAUAAACACGACAUAUUUCAUUAAAUAUGUCUUUCGCCUGUAUGCCAAGAAUACAGCGGUUCUUAAUAUAGGAACGUAUUUGGUCAGUGAAAGGAGACCUUUUCCCAACCAUUUUAGCUUUAGUGUACACGAGUAGAUAGUGUUAAUCGAGCUAUUGUCAUAGCUAGACUGAACGGAUUUAAACAUGUAUUGUAUCAAUGGAGAGCUCACACAACCCUCUAUGCGAUACAUGUACCUGUUUCGUGCAAAUCGUGGUUAAAAGCGAGCUAUUGGCCUAGUUGCAUUCAUAUUUGAACACCCCUGUACAUAGACUAACACAUACUUUUGAAGUUAAACUUAAAAGAUAUCGGUAUGCAUUAUCAAGGCAUUGGCAUAAUUCAGACUUGUAUAAGCACUGGACCACAAAUCAAGAACAUCUGGACGUGAUUAUUUUGUAACUUUAUCUAAAAUUUCACAUUGAGUUAUAUGCGUAUAUCACAGUAACGUGUUUGUUGCAUUUGGUUGUUGUUUGGGUUUGGCGUCCUCAUUCAACAAUAGUUCAGUUAUGUAACAGUUGGCAGUUAACCUAACAAGUGUUCCCAGAAUUUUUACACAAGGACUAACCUGUCCUCCGCAAGUAACUACCAACUCCUUCACAUGAAUCAAAGGCAAAGGGCAAAUGAUUUCAGACACGAUUCUAUCAAAUCGUCACAGAGAAUAUUCGCCUUGCCCUGGGAUUGAACUGAUGACCCCACGAUCAAUAGAUGUACGCUCUCCAUAUUGAGCUAAAUUUAUAAAUGUUAACAUACAUCAACAAUAUCAGUAUUUUUCAUGAUCAGUUGCAUGUAUGAUUUAAUACUAUUAAGGUAUGAUUAUUGUAGAAACUGUGUCAUAAGUCAAACUAUAUUAAGAACGAAAAAACGCCAGAUAUCAUGGACUGCCUUAUGGUCUUUUGAAAAAGAAACUAUGUAUUGUUGUCAACAGAAAAAAAGUCAUGUCUUAUUGUCGUCUGAAAAAAUAUACCAGCAACCUUGGACUGUCUUAUAGUCUUCUGAAAAAGGCCAGGGACUGUCUGAACCAGGGGCUCUCUUACAAUAUUUGUAUGUUCCAAGAACAGAAAUAAUACAUUAUAAGAAAGAUAUUAAACAAGACAAUGACUAUCUUCAGGAAAACUGUGUUAACGUAGAAAACCCUGGCAUAUCAAGUGUCUGAAUUAAAUGAACUAAUCUUUAGGCUUAUAGUACCAGAGACCAAUCUCAUCAUAUAAUGAAC